ACUGAGGUUUCCAUCUUGCACUGAGAGCCUGGGGAAAGCUUGGAGGUAUCGCAGGGGGACAUUUCCACACUGUCCCUCUGGCUGCUGUGGGCGAUGGGUGAGGGUAGAGAGGGGGAGGGGAGAGCAGAACCAGGUAGGGGCCAUGCUAUGGCCACACCAGAGGUGACCAGUGACGGAGAAAGGAGGACAGAUUCGGAGACACUAGGAGUAUGUAAACUGCACUGGAUGUCAGGUUGAGAGAGGGAGGAGAGGGGGUGUCAAAAGGGAGGAGAAUGUUCCAGAAAGAACAUUCCAGCUCAGAGAUAGAAAGAGGCUCCUGGCUUGGGUAACUGCAUGCACUGAUGGAUGGAGGUGUCACUUGGGGGUAGAGGGGACUGAGAAGAGCCAGGUUUGGGGCAAGGAGCUCACGAACUUGGACUUGGGCAUGUCAGGUCGUAUGCCUUCGAGAUGCUGCUGGGGGAAGAGUCGGCGGCUGGACCUUUCUCUGCCAGACCCGGGCUGAGAGCCCUGGUAGGGGGGUCAUCCAGAGGGGAAAGGCCCUCUGCCCUCAGGGGCUCAAGCCUGGGGGCUCCCUGGACCAUCACAGCUUGAAUUCCACCAACCUCACUCUCAACAACAAAACACCACAACGCGAAAACUACUAGUGCUACCUCCAUAUAUAAAUAACUAAUGUAGAAAAUUUGGGAAAACACAGAAAUCUCAUCACCUGGAAACAACCAAGAAUAACAUCAUGGUGUGUGUUUUCUCUUUCUUCUCUAUCAAUAAGUGAAUGUUUACAAACAAAGCAAGACGAGGAUAAAACUAUACACACAUGUCGCAGUGCAUAACCUUCUAAAGAAACUAAUUCAUGUCUCUAAAAAAAAAAAAAAA